UACAGAGGUCCCAAGCGUUUGUUCGGAUUCACUGGGCGUAAAGGGUGCGUAGGCGGUCGGGUAAGUCUGACGUGAAAUCUCCAAGCUCAACUUGGAAAUGGCGUCGGAUACUAUUCGGCUCGAGGAGUGGAGGGGAGACUGGAAUUCUCGGUGUAGCAGUGAAAUGCGUAGAUAUCGAGAGGAACACCAGUGGCGAAGGCGGCUCUCUGGGACGGUACUGACGCUGAGACGCGAAAAGCGUGGGGAGCGAACAGG
rnacentral:rRNA from 1 species